UCAUGAUCAGGAACGCGGUGAAAAUGCCAAAAAGUAAACUUUUGAGGCAGCGAUGAACGGACCUAAAUAUGAAAAGACACAACAUUUAAACCCCUCACAUGGACCGGCACGCUGCCCUCCACCCAAUCUGCCACCCCGGAGUACUCCUGCAAGGUGUUCCUCGGGGGAGUUCCAUGCAACCUCAAUGAAGGACACCUGCAUGUUAUUUUUAACACCCAGGCGGGUGUGCAGGCUCUGCUCCGGGCGUGUACGCAGGAGCAAAUGGAGGGCAGCGUGACCUUUUAUUAUUUUACUAUGUCUAGUAAAAGAUAUAGAAACAAAAGGGUCGAGGUUAUACCGUGGGAGUUGGGGGGUAGCACCCACGUGCUGCCCCACUUCCGGCUGGUGGACAGCUACAGCGUUUCUGUGGGAGCUCUGCAUGGGAGACUCGAUGCUAAGGCUCUAGUUACCAUCAUGGGCGAUCUGUUUGGUCUCCCAUGCAGAGCUCCAUUUGGACAAACGCAGGUACUCCACCGGCUCCGCACGGGUCUUUUUUGAUGACUGCAAGAGCUACCUGAAGGCCACCCGUGCGGAGUCGGUGGUGGUACAGACCACACAAUUCUCCAGGAAGGUAAUAGCAUGGAUUUAGUUUUCCUCAGUGUCAAAACAGAGAGCUUUAUCUUUAUACAGGAAGCAGUCAGCAUGUUCGUCUUGUACAAUGAAAUAAAUAUAU